GGAAAUGCUUAACAAAAAUUCUUUCUGCUAACUCUUGCAAAGUAGAAAUUGAGCUAAGUGGUAAUAAAUUGAGUCAUGCUCAUGCUCGAACUCACAACAAGUAUAGAAAUAGCUUCAACCUCAGUGCAUCUUCAGUCACACCGACUAUUUUAAAUGAAUCACUCACCUCCAUGAAUAAUCGAAGGUGAAGGUGUCGAUAUUCUGUGGGCAUUCCACUAAACUGGUCCAUCAUUUGUAGCAUUUGAAACAUCACUGGUUUCAAUUCAAAUUGGGGCGCC
rnacentral:lncRNA from 1 species